ACGAACGCUGGCGGCAUGCCUAACACAUGCAAGUCGAACGAGACCUUCGGGUCUAGUGGCGCACGGGUGCGUAACGCGUGGGAACCUGCCCUUAGGUUCGGAAUAACUCCCCGAAAGGGGUGCUAAUACCGGAUAAUGUCUUCGGACCAAAGAUUUAUCGCCUUUGGAUGGGCCCGCGUUGGAUUAGCUAGUUGGUAGGGUAAAAGCCUACCAAGGCGACGAUCCAUAGCUGGUCUGAGAGGAUGAUCAGCCACACUGGGACUGAGACACGGCCCAGACUCCUACGGGAGGCAGCAGUGGGGAAUAUUGGACAAUGGGCGAAAGCCUGAUCCAGCAAUGCCGCGUGAGUGAUGAAGGCCUUAGGGUUGUAAAGCUCUUUUACCCGGGACGAUAAUGACAGUACCGGGAGAAUAAGCUCCGGCUAACUCCGUG
rnacentral:rRNA from 1 species